rnacentral:snoRNA from 1 species
AACGAGGCCAGAGUUACGCCUGGACACUGACAUGUUGUCCUGAUGUGCUAGAGUGCUUGCAGAGGAAAAGAUCUCUGCUUAUUCAUUGGCUGUAGUCUAAUGUGGCCCAGUCAAUUACCGGCUCAGAUACACCA